CUGGGGUGAAAUCAGGCGCUUCAGCGACAAGUCCCGGACAAAUAAAGUUAUUAACUCGUCGGCAGAGACCGGUUGGGGGAUAAAAACGCCACAAAAAUAAAGUUUCUAACUAUGUAAAAUGUAAAGAGGUGAGGAUUUGUGCAACAUGGUUUAAGAACCUGGCAGAUGACGGAAGAAGCUGUUCUUGAUUCUGGAUGAAACGGUUCUCGAGAUUCUGUAAUUAUUUCCGGAUUCUAACAGAGAUUUCCAAUCUUCACUUAUUUAUGGGGUGAUGUGUCCUGAGGCAUCUGUUCUCCAGUCAGCUGUGGGAUGAAGGGUCCCACGAACCAAUGAAGAUAUCAAGAAACAGUCAAGACACAACACUGCCUUAGAGUCCCAACCAAAGCUCGGCAAUGGUGCUGAAGAUUUGUACUCGAGAAUUCAAUGUCUUCCUUCCUGCCACUCUGCACCAGUAGGGCUGCAGCACCGACAUCUACCAGCGGAGUGAUGGCAGGUGUGCUUGGCAAUCUUACCACGUUAAUGGCAUUAGUUUAGUCAGGGGUCCAGAAAGACAAACACAACUUCUCACUGCACACAUGACAAUAACAAACCAGUACUAAUACAUCUCAGCUACACACCUCAUCACAGCUCCAUGUAUCUCAAUGCACC